AAACCAACAGGGAUUGCCUCAGUAACGGCGAGCGAAGCGGCAAAAGCUCAAAUUUGAAAUCUGGCGUCUUUCUUAGGCGUCCGAGUUGUAAUUUGAAGAUGGCAACUUUGGGAUUGGCUCUCGCAUAUGUUCCUUGGAACAGGACGUCAUAGAGGGUGAGAACCCCGUUCAUGGCGAGAUGACCCAAUUCUAUGUAAAGUGCUUUCUAAGAGUCGAGUUGUUUGGGAAUGCAGCUCUAAGUGGGUGGUAAAUUCCAUCUAAGGCUAAAUAUUGGCGAGAGACCGAUAGCGAACAAGUACAGUGAUGGAAAGAUGAAAAGAACUUUGAAAAGAGAGUGAAAAAGUACGUGAAAUUGUUGAAAGGGAAGGGCUUGAAAUCAGACUUGGUAUUCAGUGAUCAACUGUCUCUCGGGACUGUGCACUCGCUGUUUACUGGGCCAACAUCGGUUUAGAGGGUGAGAUAAAAGCUAGAGAAUGUGGCACUGCUUCGGUAGUGUGUUAUAGCUCUGGUCAAUAUCACCACUCUAGACCGAGGACUGCGCUUUAUGCUAGGAUGUUGGCGUAAUGAUUUUAAGCCAC
rnacentral:rRNA from 1 species